GUGAAUCAUCAAAUUUUUGAACGCAAAUUGCACUCUCUUCGGAGAGUAUGCCUGUUUGAGGGUCAGCCUAAAAAAAUCGAAAAAAUUUCUGUUUUCGCGGUGGCAUUCGGCGGAAAUUGGGUCAUCUUAAACCUUUGGGUUUUAAGCCGCCUAAAAUUUUCUUUACGAUUCCACGAAAGUUUUUAAAAUUUAUUUCUUUACACGUUUAAGGGGAUUGAUUUUUAUUAGACGUUAACAUCAUUUCGGAUC
rnacentral:misc_RNA from 1 species